UACGUAGGGGACUAGUGUUGUCCGGAUUUACUGGGCGUAAAGCGCUUGUAGGUGGUAACUUAAGUCAGAUGUUAAAGGCAGAGGCUCAACUUCUGUACGCAUUUGAUACUGAGUUGCUAGAGGGUAGGAGAGGAGAGUGGAACUCACGGUGUAGCGGUGAAAUGCGUAGAUAUCGUGAGGAACACCAAUGGCGAAGGCAGCUCUCUGGACUACUCCUGACACUGAGAAGCGAAAGCGUGGGGAGC
rnacentral:rRNA from 1 species